AGUGUCUGCUUAUCACUGUUUCUUUAUGUUGUAAUGUCACCCUGUGAAAUGAUUGAGAACUGCAGUUAAUGUUCAAUUUAUAUCUCAUGCGGGCACUCUCCAUGCGCAAUGACCAUUCUUUAAUCAGGACAGGGUUAUAUUUGUGUCCCCCUAUGACGGGAAUAAGAGGCUUUUAUCUAGGCUUUUAAGGUAUGGACAUUGAGGCUGUGGACAGCUACAGGUACCUUGGUGUUCAUCUGAACAACAAACUGGACUGGACUCAUAAUUCAGACGCCCUCUACAGGUAAGGGCAGAGCAGGCUGUACCUGCUGUGGAGACUCAGGUCUUUUGGAGUGAAGAGCCCACUCCUGAAGACCUUCUAUGACUCUGUGGUGGCCUCAGCCAUCUUUUAUGGUGUGGUCUGCUGGGGUGGCAACAUCUCUGCUGGGAUAGGAAGAGACUGAACUGGCUGAUCUGCAGGGCCAGCUCUGUUCUAGGAUGCGCUCUGGACCCAGUGGAGGUGGUGAGUGACAGGAGAAUGGCGGCUAAGCUGUCAUUCCUGUUGGACAACCUCUCCCACCCCAUGCUGGAGACUCUGACAGUACUGAGGAGCUCCUUCAGUGGCAGGCUGCUGCACCCACGGUGUGGGACGGAGAGAUUUUGCAGGUCUUUCCUCCCCACUGCUGUCAGACUCCACAACAAAGACUUUUGCUGCUGAUCAAACACACACAAACCCACACAUGUGCAAUAAGACUAAGUGCAAUACUCUUUUUUGACAAAGUUGUAUUUUUACUCAGUUGUAUAUAGCAUUUGUAUUCUAUUUUUAUCCUAUUGUAUAUGUCUGUGAAGGUUCUCAGUCAUCCAGGUCAUCGUAGUCAAAGGAGCUUGCAAAGAAAAGCGUCUGGACUUCUUUAAGUUACUUGAAGACGUUUCACCUCUCAUCUGAGAAGCUUCUUCAGUUCUAAGGUCAAAUGGUGGAGAGUUCCAGAUAUAAACCUAGUGGAAGUUUCCCCCCACAGAGGGACAAAAGGACCCCCUGAUGAUCCUCUAAUCGCCUGAGUCAAGGUGUGAAACUGGGUGUGGGUCCCAAUCAGCCAGAGUUUCGGGAGUGCUGGUCCCGAGCCUCAAAGACAGUAAGAAGCAAGCAGAGGGAGAAAAAACAGAACAUUUUUCAGAAACCGAUUUGAUCCUUAAUGGCUGUGCAAUUAUUGUAACAUAGAGUUUGCUUAUGUUGUUAAAUAAAGGCUAGAUUUGGCAUUAAUAGAUGCCACAGAUGUUCAAAAGCUGCCACAAAGCAUGAAAAAAAUGGACGUCUCUGAAAACGUCGGAGCAUUUUUGCAAAUAUGUGAUGUCUUGAUAAAUCGAGGAGAUAUUUGAACUUUACACAGCUACAUUCUUGCCUGAAAAUAUCUUAAAAGUAAACUUCCAGCUUACUUAGUUUUUCUAAGUUAAGACAACUCAAAUAAAUUGAGUUUAUCAGCAUUUUUGCAUAAAAAGUACUGGUAACUUAUUUAAAUCGAGUUCUAAUAACAAAUUGAUAAAAAUUGAGUUCAGCCUAUUUAAUAUUUUUAAUUAAACACAAUAUUACAUUUUACAGUGUAGUAAAAACAAUUACUAUUUUAUAGGACAGUUAUUUUACAGUUUUUAUGUGUUGUAAGAGACACAAACAGCAUUGUGUCCUAUAGGCAGUACUAAAGCUUCAUUGUUUAAAGAGAUGUUCUUGAUGUAAGGGUCUAAGUUGUCUCCACCUGCUACGGCGGCUGAGAUCCAGGACUCUUCUAAGGACGUUUCACGACACUGUGGUGGCAUCUCUUAUUUUUUCUGCUGUGGUCUGCUGGAGUGUUGGAAUGGCAGAGAGGGACAGGGGGAAACUUAAUAAACUGGUCAAGAGGGCUAAGUCUGUCCUGGACUGUCCGCUGAAGUCCAUUGAGCGGGUUGGGGAGGAGAGCAUGUUAUCUAAGCUAACAUCCAUCAUGGACAACACCAUCCACCCCCUGCAUGACACUGUAUGAGUACUGAGCAGCUCAUUCCGCAAUAGACUUUUACACCCACAGUUUAGGAAAGAGCGCUACCGCAGGUCAUUAGUAAUAAACAGCCAGUGAGAGUGAGUGGAUUUAAGAAAGUCAGUGACUCAGGUGUGUCGCUUGGUUUGUCAUCUGUUUGUGAGACUGGAGGAGACGUAGAAAUCCUUUGUUUUAAAUCUUAGUUAGGAAGGUUCCUGUUUGAAAACAAGCACUUUUUGUGAGAAAUGCAAGAAGUACAUCUGCAGAAAGCACACAGUUACAUUCUGUCCACCAUGUGGACAAAAUAGAAAAUGUUGAGCAUUGAGAAACUGAGAACGUUGGGCAAGUUCAAAAGAAAUGUGUUUGUAAGAACGAAAAACCAAAUUGUUCCUAAAAUAGUUAUGGAA
ensembl:lncRNA